GUGGUAAUGCCGGAUGCUCCAUCACACCGCAUGGUGUGUUGGGAAAGCCUUUGCGGCAUGGGAUGGGGUCGCGUCCUAUCAGCUUGAUGGCGGGGUAACGGCCCACCAUGGCUUCGACGGGUAGCCGGCCUGAGAGGGCGACCGGCCACAUUGGGACUGAGAUACGGCCCAGACUCCUACGGGAGGCAGCAGUGGGGAAUAUUGCACAAUGGGCGCAAGCCUGAUGCAGCGACGCCGCGUGAGGGAUGGAGGCCUUCGGGUUGUAAACCUCUUUUGUUAGGGAGCAAGGCAUUUUGUGUUGAGUGUACCUUUCGAAUAAGCACCGGCUAACUACGUGCCAGCAGCCGCGGUAAUACGUAGGGUGCAAGCGUUAUCCGGAAUUAUUGGGCGUAAAGGGCUCGUAGGCGGUUCGUCGCGUCCGGUGUGAAAGUCCAUCGCUUAACGGUGGAUCCGCGCCGGGUACGGGCGGGCUUGAGUGCGGUAGGGGAGACUGGAAUUCCCGGUGUAACGGUGGAAUGUGUAGAUAUCGGAAAGAACACCA
rnacentral:rRNA from 1 species